CGGGACACCUAUCUUCGGAUAGAAGCGAGUGGCGAACGGCUGAGUAACACGUGGAGAACCUGCCCCCUCCCCCGGGAUAGCCGCCCGAAAGGACGGGUAAUACCGGAUACCCCGGGGUGCCGCAUGGCACCCCGGCUAAAGCCCCGACGGGAGGGGAUGGCUCCGCGGCCCAUCAGGUAGACGGCGGGGUGACGGCCCACCGUGCCGACAACGGGUAGCCGGGUUGAGAGACCGACCGGCCAGAUUGGGACUGAGACACGGCCCAG
rnacentral:rRNA from 1 species